AUUGAACGCUGGCGGCAUGCCUUACACAUGCAAGUCGAACGGCAGCACGGGUGCUUGCACCUGGUGGCGAGUGGCGAACGGGUGAGUAAUACAUCGGAACAUGUCCUGUAGUGGGGGAUAGCCCGGCGAAAGCCGGAUUAAUACCGCAUACGAUCUACGGAUGAAAGCGGGGGACCUUCGGGCCUCGCGCUAUAGGGUUGGCCGAUGGCUGAUUAGCUAGUUGGUGGGGUAAAGGCCUACCAAGGCGACGAUCAGUAGCUGGUCUGAGAGGACGACCAGCCACACUGGGACUGAGACACGGCCCAGACUCCUAGGGGAGGCAGGGGUGGGGAAUUUUGGAAAAGGGGGGAAAGCCUGAUCCAGAAAUGCCGCGGGGGGGAAGAAGGCCUUCGGGUUGUAAAGCCCUUUUGUCCGGAAAAAAAUCCUUGGCCCUAAAACGGCGGGGGGAUGACGGUACCGGAAAAAAAAGCCCCGGCUAACUACGU
rnacentral:rRNA from 1 species